CCACCAUGUUCACCAGCUUGUCGCUAACUUUGUCUGUUUGCCAUUUGGUGCUGCUGAGGCAAACUCCAACUGCUUCAGAAAACUAACUGUGACCUGAGACCUGGGAAGCGCAGACUACUUCCUCUCCACGAAUGAUCAGACUGGAGGCUCCACGUCGGCUGCUGGUCGUCCAUCUAUCUGCAUAUCUCGAAAGAGUCAACAAAGUAACAAGUGGAAUGGCGGUCGGCCGGUGGGACGAGUGGUCGGCCGGUGGGACGAGUGGUCGGCCGGUGGGACGAGUGGUCGGCCGGUGGGACGAGUGGUCGGCCGGUGGGACGAGUGGUCGGCCGGUGGGACGAGUGGUCGGCCGGUGGGACGAGUGGUCGGCCGGUGGGACGAGUGGUCGGCCGGUGGGACGAGUGGUCGGCCGGUGGGACGAGUGGUCGGCCGGUGGGACGAGUGGUCGGCCGGUGGGACGAGUGGUCGGCCGGUGGGACACAUGUCACUCCAUGCAUGGACCUAUGACAAAACAGAUUGGUAAGUAAAAAGUUAAGUCAAUUGUGCCGAAAAUGUUUUUGCAUGAAGCAUACCAGUGCGCAAAUAGAGGUUUUCAUGGCAUCAGGUAUUAAUGUAUUGACCAGGAAGCUGAUUUAGUUCCUUCCUGCCAGAAAAUAGGAGAAAAAAAUUAUUGAAAUAGAGAUAAAUGUGCAAUGAGUUGCAUUUAAAGUGACUCACUUCUCAGGUUGCAACAAGAAGACUAAAGUGUUGCUGGUGUGCAGCUUUGCUCUAGUCCUCGGCUGCCGCUACAAGCAGCAGAGGGCUCUUCAGGCAGAAUAGACCUAGGUGAAAGAGCUCAGAGGCUGAAGACAAACUGUGGCAAAGAGUUUCACUUUCUGGACCAGGAUUUGCAACUUUUGCCUGUAAAGAAAAAAGAACAUAGACAACUACUCCAACUGUAGUUUACUGCUUUUAUUUUUACCUGUAGACUGGAAGCAGCUGGUCGCUGGUGCACAGGCAGAGUUCUUGAAAUGUUGUAAAAUUUCUCCAGGAUGGACACCUGCACACACACACACGUGGCCCCUCAAGUUGCCAUUUAGUAAGAUUUAUUUGUACGUUAACUCUGAAAAUAGAGGCAGUCUUGAGGAACUUCUGCAUGGUUUUGAGAGCUGUUACCUUUGGUCAGCAGGUGGCGGACUUUCCAACUGCAUCCUUACUGGAAUGUGCACUGCAGGAAGAGGGAGGCAACAGGCAUGUGCUUUUAAACAAUACCAAGUUUGUAAUAAGUGGUCACCUGUCAGCAUGUUGAUGAUUCCACAGGUUCAAAACCUUGCAGAUCCACGCUGCAGAAAGUAGGUCCUUUGGCUCUACCUGGUGGACAAAAUGAGUGAGAACAUGCUGAAAUGUUUGACAUGUGUCAAACGUUUGGACGCGUGCGUGUUUCACCAGUGACGAAGGGAGGGCAGUGCGGGACGUCUCUCCUACCACAGCUCGAUGGUCUGAAAGAAAUGGUAACGUUACUACCAUUCUGUUUUCACAUUUUCAGCCUAAGAAAAUUGAGCAAGAGUAAACCUGCAAGUGUCUCAUGAAGCCAUGCGGGAACUGCAACACGGCCAUUUUGGACCCUGCAGACAUAGAAAAAGACCAAAUGUUUGCUUUAAUCAAUUUGACAAGAUGCCUUGCUAAUAAAAAUAUUUUUGCCA